GAUGAACGCUAGCGGCAGGCCUAACACAUGCCAGUCGAGGGAGGAGCUUUCGGGCUUCGACCGGCGUACGGGUGCGUAACGCGUAUACAAUCUGCCUUUCACAUAGGGAUAGCCCGAAGAAAUUUGGAUUAAUACCUAAUGGUAUAUAGAGGUGGCAUCACCUUUAUAUUAAAGCUGAGGCGGUGAAAGAUGAGUAUGCGUUCUAUUAGCUAGUUGGAGAGGUAACGGCUCCCCAAGGCGACGAUAGAUAGGGGUUCUGAGAGGGAUAUCCCCCACACUGGUACUGAGAUACGGACCAGACUCCUACGGGAGGCAGCAGUGAGGAAUAUUGGACAAUGGUCGGAAGACUAAUCCAGCCAUGCCGCGUGCAGGAAGACGGCCUUAUGGGUUGUAAACUGCUUUUGCAGGGGAAGAAUAAGGACUACGCGUAGUUUGAUGACGGUACUCUGCGAAUAAGCAUCGGCUAACUCCGUG
rnacentral:rRNA from 1 species